UUGAACGCUGGCGGCAUGCCUUACACAUGCAAGUCGAACGGCAGCACGGGUGCUUGCACCUGGUGGCGAGUGGCGAACGGGUGAGUAAUACAUCGGAACAUGUCCUGUAGUGGGGGAUAGCCCGGCGAAAGCCGGAUUAAUACCGCAUACGAUCUACGGAUGAAAGCGGGGGACCUUCGGGCCUCGCGCUAUAGGGUUGGCCGAUGGCUGAUUAGCUAGUUGGUGGGGUAAAGGCCUACCAAGGCGACGAUCAGUAGCUGGUCUGAGAGGACGACCAGCCACACUGGGACUGAGACACGGCCCAGACUCCUACGGGAGGCAGCAGUGGGGAAUUUUGGACAAAGGGCGAAAGCCUGAUCCAGCAAUGCCGCGUGUGUGAAGAAGGCCUUCGGGUUGUAAAGCACUUUUGUCCGGAAAGAAAUCCUUGGCCCUAAUACGGUCGGGGGAUGACGGUACCGGAAGAAUAAGCACCGGCUAACUACGUG
rnacentral:rRNA from 1 species